UUAAUUCUUCUUUACAAACUGUUUUGUUUGGACCUAUCGGAUAGAAACUAAAUAUAUCUGAAAAUUAAUUAGCUAGGAGGAGGUUGUGUUAAUUUUCAUAAAAUUCUUCAUUGUUCUCCAGGUUAGAGGGUUACCAAGGAAGGACCGACUUGUUUGGACGAUGUGAGGGUUGUAGGACUAGGAUAUUUAGAUCUCAACAUUUGUUAAAAUUUCUUCAGUGGUUGAUUGUCAUGAUAAAUCUAUCAAUCUGAACAAGUGUGGUAGGGUUUCUCAAGGAAAUAUUGAGAGAAG
rnacentral:lncRNA from 1 species